rnacentral:misc_RNA from 1 species
GUAGGUGAACCUGCGGAAGGAUCAUUAUCGAGUUAGGGUCUCUUGAGGCCUGAUCUCCAACCCUUUGUCUAUUUCACCACCUGUUGCUUCGGCGAGCCCGUCCUUUGGAAAAUAAGGACCGCCGGAGGGGUUCGCCCUUCUAGCCUGCGUUCGCCGUUGGCCACCGUUAAAUUCUUCUGUAAUUGUGUCAUCUAAGUAAAAUAGUAAUUAAAGUAAAACUUUCAACAACGGAUCUCUUGGUUCUGGCAUC